GCCGGCAGCUAGCUCUCUGCAACUCUCACAUGGCCGCCCACUGAAGCUAAGCAGGGCUGUGCCUGGUCAGUACCUGGUGGGGAGACCACAUGGGAAAAGCUAGGUUGCUGCUGGAA
rnacentral:rRNA from 1 species